AUGCCGCGUGAGUGAUGAAGGCCUUAGGGUCGUAAAGCUCUUUCGCCUGAGAUGAUAAUGACUGUACCUGGUAAAGAAACCCCGGCUAACUCCGUGCCAGCAGCCGCGGUAAUACGGAGGGGGUUAGCGUUGUUCGGAAUUACUGGGCGUAAAGCGCGCGUAGGCGGAUUGGAAAGUUGGAGGUGAAAUCCCAGGGCUCAACCCUGGAACUGCCUUCAAAACUACUAGUCUUGAGUUCGAGAGAGGUGAGUGGAAUUCCGAGUGUAGAGGUGAAAUUCGUAGAUAUUCGGAGGAACACCAGUGGCGAAGGCGGCUCACUGGCUCGAUACUGACGCUGAGGUGCGAAAGUGUGGGGAGCAAACAGGAUUAGAUACCCUGGUAGUCCACACCGUAAACGAUGAAUGCCAGACGUCGGGUAGCAUGCUAUUCGGUGACACACCUAACGGAUUAAGCAUUCCGCCUGGGGAGUACGGUCGCAAGAUUAAAACUCAAAG
rnacentral:rRNA from 1 species